AGCGGCUUGUCGGGGUGCCUUGGACGUUAGUCAGGGCUGAGACCACUGUUGUGGGACCCGCUGAACCUGAUCGGGGUCAUGCCCGCGUAGGGAACAACGCAAUUGGCACC
rnacentral:ncRNA from 2 species